rnacentral:rRNA from 1 species
GACGAACGCUGGCGGCGUGCUUAACACAUGCAAGUCGAACGAAGUGGCGAACGGGUGAGUAACGCGUAAUCAACCUGCCCUUCAGAGGGGGACAACAGUUGGAAACGACUGCUAAUACCGCAUACUGAAGGAGGGGAUUGCGUCUGAUUAGCUAGUUGGGGGGGUAACGGCCCACCAAGGCGAUGAUCAGGAGCCGGUCUGAGGGGAUGGACGGCCAACAUGGGACUGGGGCACGGGCCAGACUCCUACGGGAAGGAGCAGUGGGGGAUCUUCCGCAAUGGGCGGAAGGCUGGCGGAGCAAAGCCGCGUGAGUGAUGAAGGGCUUCGGGUUGUAAAGCUCUGUUAAUCGGGGCGCGGUACCGAAAUAGAAAGCCACGGCUAACUACGUGCCAGCAGCCGCGGUAAUUC